rnacentral:rRNA from 1 species
GACGAACGCUGGCGGCGUGCUUAGCACAUGCAAGUCGAACGGAAAGGCCCUGCUUUUGUGGGGUGCUCGAGUGGCGAACGGGUGAGUAACACGUGAGUAACCUGCCCUUGACUUUGGGAUAACUUCAGGAAACUGGGGCUAAUACCGGAUAGGAGCUCCUGCUGCAUGGUGGGGGUUGGAAAGUUUCGGCGGUUGGGGAUGGACUCGCGGCUUAUCAGCUUGUUGGUGGGGUAGUGGCUUACCAAGGCUUUGACGGGUAGCCGGCCUGAGAGGGUGACCGGCCACAUGGGGACUGAGAGACGGCCCAGACUCCUACGGGAGGCAGCAGUGGGGAAUAUGGCACAAUGGGCGGAAGCCUGAUGCAGCAACGCCGCGUGCGGGAUGACGGCCUUCGGGUUGUAAACCGCUUUCGCCUGUGACGAAGCGUGAGUGACGGUAAUGGGUAAAGAAGCACCGGCUAACUACGUG